AGAAAGGAAGAACGAGUCCAGCAGGACCAAGCGAAGGCACGGGCGGAGGAAGUACACCCGAGGGACCCAGCUCUGGCAUGCCAGGAACGACAUCCAGUGAGGCGCCAACUCCUGAAACGCCAGGCACAGGACCAAGUGAGAAGGGGUCUGUGACG
rnacentral:lncRNA from 1 species